CCUACGGGUGGCAGCAGUGAGGAAUAUUGGGCAAUGGGCGCAAGCCUGAACCAGCCAAGCAGCGUGAAUGAUGACUGCCCUCCGGUUGGUAAACUUCGUUUAUAAAGGAAUAAAGUGAGGCACGUGUGCCUGAUUGUAUGGACUGUACGAAUAAGGAUAGGCUAACUCCGUGCCAGCAGCCGCGGUAAUGCGGAGGUUCCGUGCGUUAGCCGGAGUUAUUGGGUUUAAAGGGAGCGUAGAUGGGUUGUUAAGUUAGUUGUGAAAGUUUGCGGCUCAACCGUAAAAGUGCAAUUGAUACUGGAAAUCUUGAGUGCAGUUGAGGUAGGUGGAAUUCGUGGUGUAGCGGUGAAAUGCGUAGAUAUAAGGAAGAACUCCGAUGGCGAAGGCAGCUUACUAAUCUGUAACUGACGUUGAUGCUCGAAAGCGUGGGUAUCAAACAGGAUUAGAUACCCCAGUAGUC
rnacentral:rRNA from 1 species